UAUGCAGCAAUAGCUUGAAACAAACUAUUAUCAAUGCGCAUCACUGGCAAUUUUAUUGCGCAUCACUGAUGAAUGACCGAAUUGUGACCGGAUCAGUUGCUCGUCUGCUGUUAAUUGGUCUAUGACUUUUUUGUUUAUUUUAAUAUGUACACCCUGGGUAUUAAUGUAUUUAUAAUUUAUUUAUUCAUACUAGGCCACAAUUUGGGGACGUUUAAGGCCGCUGGAUGUUGACGUACUAAUGCCGAUUGAAUUGCGAAUUUGCGAAACUGGAGCGGACUCACUCGGAGAUAUGAUGCGCUCCAAUUCAUAAGUGUUGCGCCGAUCUCCUCCAGAACGCCUCCCUAUCCCGUCCAUUAGAGCACCUUCAGGUUCAAAAUCCUUUAUGGGAAGAAGGUGACGUCCGACAGGUGGCGCUGACAGUCACCAACCAUUCGACGAUAGAUGGCGCUAAUAUCCGGAUUCGUAUUACAUAGCAAUAGACAUGUAUAUAAAUAAAAAUUCUAUGUGUACACAUAUGUUUGUUUAGCAGUUGUGAGCUGAA